rnacentral:rRNA from 1 species
AGCCGAUGAAGGACGUUACUAACGACGAUAUGCUUUGGGGAGCUGUAAGUAAGCUUUGAUCCAGAGAUUUCCGAAUGGGGAAACCCAGCAUGAGUUAUGUCAUGUUAUCGAUAUGUGAAUACAUAGCAUAUCAGAAGGCACACCCGGAGAACUGAAACAUCUUAGUACCCGGAGGAAGAGAAAGAAAAUUCGAUUCCCUUAGUAGCGGCGAGCGAAACGGGAAGAGCCCAAACCAACAAGCUUGCUUGUUGGGGUUGUAGGACACUCUAUACGGAGUUACAAAGGACGACAUUAGACGAAUCAUCUGGAAAGAUGAAUCAAAGAAGGUAAUAAUCCUGUAGUCGAAAAUGUUGUCUCUCUUGAGUGGAUCCUGAGUACGACGGAGCACGUGAAAUUCCGUCGGAAUCUGGGAGGACCAUCUCCUAAGGCUAAAUACUCUCUAGUGACCGAUAGUGAACCAGUACCGUGAGGGAAAGGUGAAAAGCACCCCGGAAGGGGAGUGAAAUAGAACCUGAAACCGUGUGCUUACAAGUAGUCAGAGCCCGUUAAUGGGUGAUGGCGUGCCUUUUGUAGAAUGAACCGGCGAGUUACGAUUUGAUGCAAGGUUAAGCAGUAAAUGUGGAGCCGUAGCGAAAGCGAGUCUGAAUAGGGCGUUUAGUAUUUGGUCGUAGACCCGAAACCAGGUGAUCUACCCUUGGUCAGGUUGAAGUUCAGGUAACACUGAAUGGAGGACCGAACCGACUUACGUUGAAAAGUGAGCGGAUGAACUGAGGGUAGCGGAGAAAUUCCAAUCGAACCUGGAGAUAGCUGGUUCUCUCCGAAAUAGCUUUAGGGCUAGCCUCAAGUGAUGAUUAUUGGAGGUAGAGCACUGUUUGGACGAGGGGCCCCUCUCGGGUUACCGAAUUCAGACAAACUCCGAAUGCCAAUUAAUUUAACUUGGGAGUCAGAACAUGGGUGAUAAGGUCCGUGUUCGAAAGGGAAACAGCCCAGACCACCAGCUAAGGUCCCAAAAUAUAUGUUAAGUGGAAAAGGAUGUGGCGUUGCCCAGACAACUAGGAUGUUGGCUUAGAAGCAGCCAUCAUUUAAAGAGUGCGUAAUAGCUCACUAGUCGAGUGACACUGCGCCGAAAAUGUACCGGGGCUAAACAUAUUACCGAAGCUGUGGAUUGUCCUUUGGACAAUGGUAGGAGAGCGUUCUAAGGGCGUUGAAGCAUGAUCGUAAGGACAUGUGGAGCGCUUAGAAGUGAGAAUGCCGGUGUGAGUAGCGAAAGACGGGUGAGAAUCCCGUCCACCGAUUGACUAAGGUUUCCAGAGGAAGGCUCGUCCGCUCUGGGUUAGUCGGGUCCUAAGCUGAGGCCGACAGGCGUAGGCGAUGGAUAACAGGUUGAUAUUCCUGUACCACCUAUAAUCGUUUUAAUCGAUGGGGGGACGCAGUAGGAUAGGCGAAGCGUGCGAUUGGAUUGCACGUCUAAGCAGUAAGGCUGAGUAUUAGGCAAAUCCGGUACUCGUUAAGGCUGAGCUGUGAUGGGGAGAAGACAUUGAGUCUUCGAGUCGUUGAUUUCACACUGCCGAGAAAAGCCUCUAGAUAGAAAAUAGGUGCCCGUACCGCAAACCGACACAGGUAGUCAAGAUGAGAAUUCUAAGGUGAGCGAGCGAACUCUCGUUAAGGAACUCGGCAAAAUGACCCCGUAACUUCGGGAGAAGGGGUGCUCUUUAGGGUUAACGCCCAGAAGAGCCGCAGUGAAUAGGCCCAAGCGACUGUUUAUCAAAAACACAGGUCUCUGCUAAACCGUAAGGUGAUGUAUAGGGGCUGACGCCUGCCCGGUGCUGGAAGGUUAAGAGGAGUGGUUAGCUUCUGCGAAGCUACGAAUCGAAGCCCCAGUAAACGGCGGCCGUAACUAUAACGGUCCUAAGGUAGCGAAAUUCCUUGUCGGGUAAGUUCCGACCCGCACGAAAGGCGUAACGAUUUGGGCACUGUCUCAACGAGAGACUCGGUGAAAUCAUAGUACCUGUGAAGAUGCAGGUUACCCGCGACAGGACGGAAAGACCCCGUGGAGCUUUACUGUAGCCUGAUAUUGAAAUUCGGCACAGCUUGUACAGGAUAGGUAGGAGCCUUUGAAACGUGAGCGCUAGCUUACGUGGAGGCGCUGGUGGGAUACUACCCUAGCUGUGUUGGCUUUCUAACCCGCACCACUUAUCGUGGUGGGAGACAGUGUCAGGCGGGCAGUUUGACUGGGGCGGUCGCCUCCUAAAAGGUAACGGAGGCGCUCAAAGGUUCCCUCAGAAUGGUUGGAAAUCAUUCAUAGAGUGUAAAGGCAUAAGGGAGCUUGACUGCGAGACCUACAAGUCGAGCAGGGUCGAAAGACGGACUUAGUGAUCCGGUGGUUCCGCAUGGAAGGGCCAUCGCUCAACGGAUAAAAGCUACCCCGGGGAUAACAGGCUUAUCUCCCCCAAGAGUUCACAUCGACGGGGAGGUUUGGCACCUCGAUGUCGGCUCAUCGCAUCCUGGGGCUGUAGUCGGUCCCAAGGGUUGGGCUGUUCGCCCAUUAAAGCGGUACGCGAGCUGGGUUCAGAACGUCGUGAGACAGUUCGGUCCCUAUCCGUCGUGGGCGUAGGAAAUUUGAGAGGAGCUGUCCUUAGUACGAGAGGACCGGGAUGGACAUACCUCUGGUGUACCAGUUGUCGUGCCAACGGCAUAGCUGGGUAGCUAUGUGUGGACGGGAUAAGUGCUGAAAGCAUCUAAGCAUGAAGCCCCCCUCAAGAUGAGAUUUCCCAACUUCGGUUAUAAGAUCCCUCAAAGAUGAUGAGGUUAAUAGGUUCGAGGUGGAAGCAUGGUGACAUGUGGAGCUGACGAAUACUAAUCGAUCGAAGACUUAAUCAA